rnacentral:rRNA from 1 species
UACGGAGGGUGCAAGCGUUAAUCGGAAUUACUGGGCGUAAAGCGCACGCAGGUGGCUGAGUCAGUCGAUUGUGAAAGCCCUGGGCUUAACCUGGGAAUUGCAGUCGAUACUACUCGGCUCGAGUAUGGGAGAGGGCAGUGGAAUUCCCGGUGUAGCGGUGAAAUGCGUAGAUAUCGGAAGGAACACCAGCGGCGAAGGCGGCCAUCUGGACGGUGACUGACGCUCAGACGCGAAAGCGUGGGGAGCAAACAGG